UCAAAACACUUCUCUAUCCAAUCCACCAACUCAGGAGCUUUCUCAUUGACCAGCAGCUCAGCUUAUUCUUCAUUUAGAGGUCUAUCAAUUUGCUCCUCCUGGACUGUACUGAGUCUCAAUAUUGCUCUUCGCUUAUCUGAUUCUCAAUGCAAUAGCCACGAGUACCACUAAGCCUUGAAUGGCGUUGCAAUCGGAAUAGUAGUCAAGAGAAGGCAUAGUCAGACUUGUUCUUCAAUAUUCUCUUGCAUUAUUAACAUGUAGUUAACAUUUUGAGAAGCUGAUCUGAUGCAUUCAGUAA
rnacentral:lncRNA from 1 species